AAAACAUAGUCCGUACGACUAGCGUUGAUUUCUGGUCGUUAUACCUAACUCGGAUGCGCCGAACAUAAUGUUAUGGUGCAACAAAUAUGCGAGUGUAAUUUUUCCAAUUUAAACUCCGUGUACAUAUUCGUGAAAACCGGGGGCCGGGGGUGGGAGAUUUUGAAAAUGCAUAGUCGCGCGUUUAUGACGAACUCAAUGAUGAAUCGAGGUAAUAGUAUAAUACGACACGAUAAUUUUUUUCUCGAUUGAACGGUGGUGAGGAGGAGGAGAUCG